GGUGAGGGGGGAGGGGGGCCCUCCUUAACAAAAUGACAUCACAAAGGAAGUGAGGGGAUUACAGGAAGGAUAUUCCAGACAGAAGGCUCAGCAAGUACAAAGGUCCUGCGGCGGGAGGGUGCUUGACAGUCACAGAAAGGCAAGGCCAAUGUGGCUAAGAGGCGGUGCAGUACAAAGGGUACUAAGGGGCCAAACCACACAGGGCUUUGUGGGUCACUGCAAGGAUGUGGCUUAUAUUUACAGAGACAGGGGAAGUCAUCAGAGGGCUGGUACAGAGGGGGUGACAGGGAAACCAUUAGAAGCCCAACACCAGCCUGCAGGGAAGAAAUGGUAACCCCACCUACGGUGGCAGCAGUGGUGGGGGUGAGAUGCAGCCCAUUUGGGGUAUAGUUUGAAGGGAGAGCCAGAAGGAUUCGUUAAUGGUUUGGAUGUUGCUUGUGUAAGAAACAAGGGCGCUGAGAAGGAUACUAAGAUUUUUACUUUUUACGUUUACUGAGACAAGAGCAGCCCCCAUUAGGCAGCAUGGUGAAUGUGAAGUUGGGUUUUGGACGGUUUACGCAGAUGCCUUUUAGACACUGCCACGGAGACAGAGACAAUCUAGAGCUCCAGGGAGCCGUCUGGCCUUGAGAUAAGGAUGCGGGCGCCCAAAGUGGGCAGUAGAGGCAGGACUCUGAGGGAGUGAAUGCCACUUAGAGAGGAGGUCUGAGGGCUGGGUCCUGGGCACACGGAGUUUGUGCGCUUUUCUGUAGUUUACAUUUCACAGUAAGAUUAAAUGCACAUGUGUAAGCGAGAAUGAGCAUUUUUUCCUUUUGUUAUAGAUCUAAAAAAACACACACCCACAAUCACACUUUGGAGGCCAGAGCAGCGACCAGCCAGCACCCUUAACUUCCCAGCGCGCUUGGAAACCAGGAUCAGAGGAGACCCUGCACUUGCAGGUGCAGGGGCCUGAGGAGUGGGUGGAAUCGGGACAUUUAUUAAGCCUCUACCAAAUACGAGAAAUUUCACAGGACAGCUAACUAACUUUCAUUUCAUACCCCGAUGCCCCUCCCCUGCCAGUAAAACCGCUAGAAGACAGGCAUCACUGGGUCAUUUCACAGCCAUAGAAAGGAAGUGAGAGGUAAGGCGAUGGGUCCAAUAUGACCCAGCUGGUGACAGCAGCACCUGUGACAUCUGGCCUCACUACUGCCUGAGCGCAAAUACUCUGGACAUUAUCUCAAGCGUGGGGGAGGUGUGAAAGGAAGACUGCACAGGUGGAAGUCCAGGAAGAAGCCCUUCUGGUGAAGAGCUGCCCUAGGUCCACAGCCCCCACCUCACCAUUUGGGAUUCCCUCUGCAGCCGGAAGCUGGUACGCGGGGUCCUGCGUGGCCCUCGAGGCCGCCUACAGGAUGGACAAGGUAAUGGUCAAGCUAAGCCACAGGUCCAUGGGGAAAGGGGGCCAGACUGGUUCCAAAGGUGCGGGCUGAUGUGCCGGAACAGGCAGCUAGCUGGCCAGGAACCAAACCUGGGCUGUAGAGAUCCUGUCCAGCGCCUUCCGGGGGACAGGCAGCUUUCCGUGCAGCGAGCAUGCUUGGAAGGAAAGGGCUCUACUGAACACGGACACGUGGCGCCACAUCCGACGGGCUCCUCAAUACCCACGAGCUCCUAGUCAGGUAGGCACCCCUACUUUAAAGAAAGGGAGGUGACCUGCCCAACAUCCCGUAGCUAGUGAGCACCAGCUCUCCUCCCCGUCUUCCCACCGCCUCCUACUGGCAAACUACGGCAGGCAGCCCCGUCCUGCUGCCGUCACACCGGCCCGCGGCUCAGAUGGGGACUUACGUGAGGCUCGGGAACUGAGCGUGUCAACCCCUGCUCCGGGACGGCCAGUCUCAGCACGUCGAACCCCGCGGCAGCCUCGGACUCCUCCGCCCUAAGGCUCUGCAGGGCUUCCAGCUCGCUCUGAAGCUGGUGCAUUUGCAACAGGGCAGAGUCGUGACCUAGGCCGGGCAGAGGGGAGCACCAGUGACUCCUGCUGCUUCAGGACCGGGCCACUUCAGGGCAGGGGUACUGGGUGGGAGCAGGUGAGAGGGCUCGGCAGGGGCGGACUCCUCACCUUUCUUCAGUUGGAAAAUUUCCUGCUCUUUCUGGAGAAUCACUUCAGCUUUUUCCUGCAGACUCUGCUCCUUCUCAUCUACUACAGCUGUGAGGUUAGCAGCCUGGACAGAAAAGCCAACUCUUUGCAGAUGCAACUGAGACUGGAAUUUAUGUUAAGGACUCACCGAAGGCCUAGAGUCCAUUCCCUACAAGGUCUGGGGCCCGAUGCUGAGUCUGUCUUGAAAGGAAGCUUUGCCCACCCUUCUCGCUGAGGGCUCAGCUGUACUGCGUCCUCCGGGGCCUGUGGGCAGCGAUGCCCCUCACAGAGUCAGAGCCCAGGAGGCACCUGGAUGCGGGCUUUUCCCCAGAGACCUCAGGGUCAUCAGUCACACAGUUCCUGGCAUUCCUGACACCUGUGUCCACCCCCUGGAGGAGGACACACGGGGAGGCAGGCUGGUCCUGCCCGAGGCUGGAACAUACCACCCUUUGGCCCGUGCCUCAGGGUCAAACGGGGCCUACCU